rnacentral:rRNA from 1 species
UACGUAGGAUCCAAGCGUUGUCCGGAUUUACUGGGCGUAAAGGGUGCGCAGGCGGACUUGUUAGUCAGAGGUGAAAUCUCACGGCUCAACCGUGAAACUGCCUUUGAUACUGCAGGUCUUGAAUUGGGGAGAGAGUUGUGGAAUUCCGAGUGUAGCAGUGAAAUGUGUAGAUAUUCGGAAGAACACCAGUGGCGAAGGCAGCAACUUGGCCCCAGAUUGACGCUCAGGCACGAAAGCAUGGGGAUCAAACAGG